rnacentral:rRNA from 1 species
AGACCCGAAACCCGGUGAUCUAGCCAUGGGCAGGUUGAAGGUUGGGUAACACUAACUGGAGGACCGAACCGACUAAUGUUGAAAAAUUAGCGGAUGACCUGUGGCUGGGGGUGAAAGGCCAAUCAAACCGGGAGAUAGCUGGUUCUCCCCGAAAGCUAUUUAGGUAGCGCCUCGUGAAUUCAUCUCCGGGGGUAGAGCACUGUUUCGGCUAGGGGGCCAUCCCGGCUUACCAACCCGAUGCAAACUGCGAAUACCGGAGAAUGUUAUCACGGGAGACACACGGCGGGUGCUAACGUCCGUCGUGAAGAGGGAAACAACCCAGACCGCCAGCUAAGGUCCCAAAGUCAUGGUUAAGUGGGAAACGAUGUGGGAAGGCCCAGACAGCCAGGAUGUUGGCUUAGAAGCAGCCAUCAUUUAAAGAAAGCGUAAUAGCUCACUGGUCGAGUCGGCCUGCGCGGAAGAUGUAACGGGGCUAAACCAUGCACCGAAGCUGCGGCAGCGAACGUAUCACCCAAGACAACUUUACGGAGUUGACGAUUGACGGAGCGAAGCGACGUCAAAGCGUUCAUUAAAGUCGAGUUGGCUUAGGGAUACGUUCGUUGGGUAGGGGAGCGUUCUGUAAGCCUGUGAAGGUGUGUCGUGAGGCAUGCUGGAGGUAUCAGAAGUGCGAAUGCUGACAUAAGUAACGAUAAAGCGGGUGAAAAGCCCGCUCGCCGGAAGACCAAGGGUUCCUGUCCAACGUUAAUCGGGGCAGGGUGAGUCGACCCCUAAGGCGAGGCCGAAAGGCGUAGUCGAUGGGAAACGGGUUAAUAUUCCCGUACUUGGUGUUACUGCGAAGGGGGGACGGAGAAGGCUAUGUUGGCCGGGCGACGGUUGUCCCGGUUUAAGCGUGUAGGUGUGUGUUCCAGGUAAAUCCGGUUCACUUUAACACUGAGGCGUGAUGACGAGGCACUACGGUGCUGAAGCAACAAAUGCCCUGCUUCCAGGAAAAGCCUCUAAGCAUCAGGUAACAUCAAAUCGUACCCCAAACCGACACAGGUGGUCAGGUAGAGAAUACCAAGGCGCUUGAGAGAACUCGGGUGAAGGAACUAGGCAAAAUGGUGCCGUAACUUCGGGAGAAGGCACGCUGACACGUAGGUGAAGUGAUUUACUCACGGAGCUGAAGUCAGUCGAAGAUACCAGCUGGCUGCAACUGUUUAUUAAAAACACAGCACUGUGCAAACACGAAAGUGGACGUAUACGGUGUGACGCCUGCCCGGUGCCGGAAGGUUAAUUGAUGGGGUC